CACAAGUUGGAUAAUGACAGCGACAAGGACAUUUUUAAGUUGGGGAGAAAAGAUCUUCUUCCGAAAGUGAAGGGAACCAAAACAAAACAAUAAUUGGUGUUGUAUAUUGACCGAUGAGAGCGUGAAAAGAGAGACCGGAUUGAUGCAAAUGUUGUCGUAUUGUUGCAGAGUACACCACUAUAGUGUUGCUAACAAUGGCAAACUUCAGACUGGGAGAUGAAGGUGAUUAUGCAUAUACCAUUACUGUGAGAUUCGCCGAUUAGCAAUGGAAGUUCGUUACCUGGUGUUGACAGGACAAAUCACUUCUUUGAAUGGAGAUUCAACUCAUAUUGAUGAUGACCAUGAGUUGAAGUAGGGUCUUCAACAAUUUUGUAAGGCCAACCCAUAUUCACUUAGGUCGUUGGGAGGCUGUCAUGAAAUUCGGUUGGUCGGGUUUGGGUUUUUCAGGAUUAGGUUUCGACAUUGACGAGAUAAUACAAGCAUGGCAUGAACUGUAUGAAAUGAAAAGAUGGCAAAGUGGCGUUCGUCUUUUCGAUUAGCGCCAUUGUUUAGAAGACGAGUUUUGGUUAUUGGUUCAAAGAAAAAAGUAUUGUGGAUGAAAUUUAAUAUAAGGGUGAACACAACAUACAUGUUUUGGAGAACAGUUAGAUGAAUAUAUCCGGGUUGCUAGCUUGGGAAGUGGGACUCAACAUAC